rnacentral:lncRNA from 1 species
GUGUAUAGAAUUUUUCUGCAUAUCUGAUUUGUUCACUUAAAGGGGCUAAGACAUCUUACCCUAUGAUAGGAGGUCAGGUUGGGUCGAGUCAUGCUCGAAAUCGCGGGAGGUCGGGUUGGAUUGAAUCGUGUUUGAAGUGGCGUGAAGCUGAUUGAAUCGAGUCACAAUCGGGACUUAUGAACACUGCAUCUGUACAUUUUAAGUGAAAGCUCG